GAUGAACGCUGGCGGCGUCCCUAAUACAUGCAAGUCGAGCGAACGGCGGAGGGUCACGUAACACGUGGAAAACCUCCUAUAAGCCUGGGAUAACUUGGGGAAACCGGAGCUAAACCGAAAACUAAUAGAUGGAUCCGCGUUGCAUUAGCUAGUUGGUAAGGUAACGGCUACCCAAGGCAACGAUGCAUAGCGGACCUGAGAGGGUGAUCGGCCACAAUGGAACUGAAACACGGUCCAGACUCCUACGGGAGGCAGCAGUAGGGAAUCGUCCGCAAUGGGCGAAAGCCUGACGGAGCAAAGCCGCGUGAGUGAUGAAGGUCUUCGGAUCGUAAAACUCUGUUAUUAGGGAAGCGGUACCUAUUCAGAAAGCCACGGCUAACUACGUGCCAGCCGCCGCGGUAAUAC
rnacentral:rRNA from 1 species